AAGUGUGGGCAGAAGUCAGGCAGUCAAGAAGCGAAAUAAACACAGUCUGUUUCAUGCAGCAUUUCCAUUGUCCUCGUAGGAAUGAAAUAUCUGUGCAAGCACCAGCCGCAAGGUACAAGUUGUACCAUUCCCGUGAUUCCAUGUCUGAGUUAAGUACUUUUACAUGGGCAUUUAAAACUGGCAUUGCACAAUAUAAAGACUAAUGAUAGAAUUCGUGCUAAUUAUUUAUUUAUUUAUACUUAGUAUUACGUAACAAAUAAAAACCACCAUGACAAGUCAGAGAGAGAACACAGAAGAAAGGCAAAAGCUUUUUUUAGGUUUAGAACCUCUAAUGACACUUAUUCCUGCUUUUUAAAAAUAAUGGGUCCCACAUUUUCAUUUUGCACUGGGCCUUGCAAGUUAUGUGGCCAGCCCUGCUCACAGGCAAACUCCCUUGAGGCCACCUCUCUGAGCCUCUCCUGCAGCCUGGUUUCUCUGACAGCUGGGGCUUUGCGGGCUGCAGGGGUGGUGUUUAACAAGAAGGGGUGGGGAGGCAGAAGGAGAACUGUUGAGGUAUUUUUCAGCAGGAGUCUGACUACCCCGGGGCACUUAAGAGUCCUUUGAGGCCCCACCAUAACCUGUGAACAGCACUAUCACUAGCUGAGAAAACGCCAGGAUUGCUCACUCGCUCGCUCGCCAGCAGCCCAAAUCCCAGGCCCGUGGUUGCAGGAUGUCAGGGCUGAAGGACAUUCCAGCCGGAGGGGGAGAGGAAGGACGCAUUGUGCAGAUCCAUGUGGUGAUGUGGUAGAAAUCUGUGAGAUAUUUGGAUGUAAAAGUUCACAGCAUCUUUAAUUCUGAAGCAAUACCGUGCUAUGCAACUACGGCCGGAUGAAUGCAAUGCCAGCCCCCACCCUCUUGGAAGGCAGACUUCUACCACAAGAUGGGAAAAUGAAAGGGGAGAAUCGGAGAGUUUCCCAGUCUGCCUGACAGUGGUGGAAAAAACUCAGGACCCUUGGACUUUUUGCUUUGAGGCAUUUGAAUGGAAAUAAAAGUGAAUUGAUUCUUUUUG